GAUGAGAACGCAGCGAAAUGCGAUACUUGGUGUGAAUUGCAGAAUCCCGUGAACCAUCGAGUCUUUGAACGCAAGUUGCGCCCGAAGCCACUAGGCCGAGGGCACGCCUGCCUGGGCGUCACACGCCGUUGCCCCCCCAUCUACUCCUUCGGGAUUGCGGGGGGGCGGAUGAUGGCCUCCCGUGCGCCUAGCCGCGCGGUUGGCAUAAAUACCAAGUCCUCGGCGACGCACGCCACGACAAUCGGUGGUUGCGAAACCUCGGUUGCCCGUCGUGUGCGUUCGUCGCGCAUCGAGGGCUCGAAAAAAUGCUCGGCUCCGGCUGGGCUUUCAACGCGACCCCAGGUCAGGCGGGGUUACCCGCUGAAUUUAAGCAUAUCAAUAAGCGGAGGA
rnacentral:misc_RNA from 1 species